rnacentral:lncRNA from 1 species
CAUAUAUGCAAACAAUAUAUGUAUAUGUGUAUAUAUACAUAUACGUGUGUGUGUGUAUAUAUGUGUGCACAUAAAAUAUAUAUACAUAUAUGCAAACACUGUAUCACUAGCGAUUUAUUUUCCCCUGUCUUCCCUUCUCGGGAUCUUUCCUUCUCCUGUGUUUCCGACGAAAAGCUCCGCUCGAAACGUCAAAUCCUCCUUCUUCCCUUCUUUCCUGAGCGUCCAAUAAUUCUUUUGUUUGUUCCGUCCUUGCGUUGUUGUUUUUUGGUUUUUGUUUUCUUGUUUGGAUUAACUUUAUAUAUAUAUAUAUAUAUAUACAUAUACGUGUGUGUAUGUAAAUAUACAUGUGUGUGUAUUUGUGUGUGUGUGUAUAUAUAUAUGAAUGACGAGUAAGUGAAAAUGAGGGAAAGACAAAAUGAGAGGCACAAGUUUUGAGAAAGUAUAUAUAUAUAUAUAUAUAUAUAUGUGUGUGUGUGUGUGUGUGUGUGUGUGUGUGUGUGUGUAUACAUAUAUAUGACAGGCUUCUUUCAGUUUCCGUCUGCCAAAUCCACUCACAAGGCUUUGGUUGGUCCGAGCCUAUAGUAGAAGACACUUGCCCAAGGUGUCACACAGUGGGACUGAACCCUGAACCAUGUGGCUGGGAAGUAGGCUUCUUACCGCGCAGCCACCGAGAAAUUUCUUAAGUGAAUUGACGUUCAGGUACAACUACAAACCCAAAUGGUUGUUGCUGAAAUAUUCUUUAUAGUUUUUAGAACACAACCAGUGCUCAGCUGGUACUUAUUUUUGCGACUCUGAAAUGGGACCAGAUUAAGACCCAUAGAAGUCCCAAACACUUAUAGGAUUUUGCUGUCUCCAUAUUAGAAAAAUAAACAAGGAAAUGAGUGGAAAUUUUACCGGUGCGUGUGUUAAAUUAUAAGGCACUAAAAGAGAAUGACUCUUCCCAGACACAACAGAAUAUAUGUAAUAUAAAAUAUAAACAAAUAAACCAUAGGCGCAGGAGUGGCUGUGUGGUAAGUAGCUUGCUAACCAACCAUAUGGUUCCGGGUUCAGUCCCACUGCGUGGCAUCUUGGGCAAGUGUCUUCUGCUAUAGCCCCGGGCCGACCAAUGCCUUGUGAGUGGAUUUGGUAGACGGAAACUGAAAGAAGCCUGUCGUAUAUAUGUAUAUAUAUGUAUAUGUAUGUUUGUGUGUCUGUGUUUGUCCCCCUAGCAUUGCUUGACAACCGAUGCUGGUGUGUUUACGUCCCCGUCACUAAGCGGUUCGGCAAAAGAGACCGAUAGAAUAAGUACUGGGCUUACAGAAAAAAUAAGUCCCGGGGUCGAUUUGCUCGACUAAAGGCGAUGCUCCAGCAUGGCCUCAGUCAAAUGACUGAAACAAGUAAAAGAGAGAGUAAUUUAUUUUGUGCUGUGAACCAUUUACCAUUUCUGCGGUGCCCCAUCCUUCUCUUCCCAUGAUGCCCUAAAUACGUGCUUGUUUUACUUAAUGGUUAAUCCAGCGCUGCCCUGAAAGAGUCUUAGGCAAGGUCGAUCUCGAUAGCAUUUGAACUCAGAACGUCAAGAGCCGGAAGAAAAAUCACAAAACAUUUUUGUUCGUAGUCGAAGUUCACUGUAAUGGCGGGUGUUGAAAAAAAUGGAGGAAGAAAGUUUAGCAUUUAGAAAACAGGAAAAAAAAAAGACUGGAAAAGUUUGUUGCAUGUCUGGAAUGAAUUUAGAUUAUCAGCAAAACUCUGGGGAAGUGUUUAGGUGAGAAUGGCAGAUGACAAAAAAAGGACACUGCCAUAGCAGUAAUUCCUGGCGGACUUUCGUGUGUUUUUGCGAUCAUUUGGAUAUUGGUACGAAUGGAAUGUUGAAGGGUCAUAAAUGAAGAUGAAAGGGAGCAGCAGGAAGCUGGGACAGAGGGGUACGGUGGGGUUGGGGUGGGGGAAAGCCAGACAUGAAAGGAAAGGUUCUCAUCACGGAGACUGACCUGGGAAUGGAUCGUUGAGUCAAUCAAGAAAUAUGGAAUUACGAACGAUAAUGACGAUGAUGACGACGAUGACAAUGAUGAUGAUGACGAUGAUGAUGAUGAUGAUGAUGAUGAUGAUGAUGAUGAUGAUGAUGAUGACGACGACGAUGAUGAGGAUCAUGAUGAUGAUGACGACGAUGAUGAGGAUCAUGAUGAUGAUGAUGAUGAUGAUGAUGAUGAUGAUGAUGACGACGACGACGAUGAUGAUGAUGAGGAGGAGGAGGAGGAGUAUGACGAUGAUGAUGAUGAUGAUGAUGAUGAUGAUGCUGACGAUGAUGACGAUGAUGAUGAUGAUGACAAGGAGGAGGAAGAGUAGGCGGCGGAGGAAGAGGAGGAUGUGCAAUUACGAACAGCGAUGAUGAUGAUGAUGAUGAUGAUGAUGAUGACGACGAUGACGACGAUGAUGAUGAUGAAUCUCUGAUGGUUAUAGAAUGGUUUAUUCGGCGCUGAAGAUAAUCAACAUCGGUUGGAGAUUAUCUAAGAUUUUUAAUGAACUUUUCUUUUUUCUUCCGAGCUGAAGUGCUUACGAUUUCACACCUAAUUAAAGUCAUAUCAAAUUUCUGCUGAAUGUUUUGCCUGCAUAAAUCAACUUCUGGAAGACAUUUUCAUUACCGUAUUUACCAUUUUCGUUUCAAAUAUUUAUUGCUUUAAACGGCAUUGAAUUACCUAAUUACUGAUAAAAAUUCGGCUCCGAUUUCUGAUUUACACUCCUGUGAUUAGUAUGGCUUCGAUGAAGCUAAUUGAUCAUAUACGACAGGUACAAACAAAGUAGCAAGUCUAAAUACUCCUAUAAACAUAUAUUUUUUAUUUUUUGACAUCGUAAAGAACUUAGAAACUUCGGGAGAACGUGAAAUAAUUUAUGUUUUGGAACGGAGAAAUUCGAAGUAAAUAAUGCUAUAAAUAAUAGCUUGUGAAUAUUGGAUAGAAAAAGCAGCAGGCUUCCUGUGGGUCGAUUGACUGAGUCGUUUGAAUGUCGAGUUGAUUGCUUUGUUGAGAUCGUUGCAGUUCUCUACGCUCGGAGUUCAAAUCCCGCCUAGGCCAACUUUGUCUUUCAUUUCUUUCGGGGGUCGAUAAAGAAAGUACCAGUCCUGCACCGGAGCCUGGUUCUUCUUUUUCUCUCACACUUUCUUUCUCGCUGAUUGUCGGCCUCUCUGUCUCUUUCUCUAUCUUUCUGGAAGAAUUUAGGAUUAGUCAGAGCUGGAUAAAGAUCGACUCCCCUAGGAUUGAAAAGGAAAUGUUCUUAGACAUUAAGAAAGAUAAUAAUAAUAAUAAUAAUAAUAAUGAUAAUAAUAAUAAUAAUAAUAAUGGCCGCGGCCUUCGGGCUAAAACAUUUUAAGGAUUUUGAGGAUAAUGAUAAUGAUAAUAAUAAUGAUGAUGAUGAUGAUGAGGAGGAGGAGGAGGAGGAGGAGGAGGAGAAGGAGGAGGAGGAUAAAGGCCACAACGACGCCAACGAUGUUGAUAAUGAUGGCGGUGACGACGAUGAUGAUGAUGAUGAUGACAACGGCGGCGGCGCUGUUUUGCUGGCGGUGAUGGCGAUGAUGAUGAUGAUGAUGAUAAUGUUGAUGGCGACGAUCACACGAACGACACUGCUGCUGAAGAUGAUGAUAAUGAUGAUGAUGAUGAUGAGGAGGAGGAGGAGGAGGAGGUGGUGGCGGAGGAGGAGGAGGUGGUGGAGGCGGAGGAGGAGUAGAAAGAGGAUGACGAGGGUGAGAACGUCGACGACGACGACGCGACGAAAUAAAACGUCACUACGAUACCCCACCCACGCACAUCACCACCACCACCACCACUCCUUGACUCCGUCAAAGCCAGAACUUAAGGAGGUCCUUUAAAAUGAUGACACGGCAUGGCACAUCUUGAGCUUCUACCCUCAUUCCUUCCACCACCACCACCACCACCACCACCACCACCACUCACAGAAAACACGAAGAGGAUGAUGAAUCUUCUACCUUCAUCUCCAAUGGUUUCUCACAAAUUUGUUAUAAAUUUCGCCACUUACACACUUGUCCUGCCUUUGUGGCUUCAUUAAAGCUCAUUCUCGCUCACCUGUGUCGUUCGCCUUCUUCAAAUAUUGAAUUAAUCUCGUUCAUUUGUAACCUUGACCAAUUCAAUUUUCUCACUACUUCUCUCUCUCUCUCUCUCUCUCUCUCUCACACACACACACACACCCACACAUAAACUCUCCUAUAUUUAUUAAUAUUUUUUUAUCAGUAGUAUUAUUAUUAUUAUUGCUGUCAUAAUUAUUAUUGAUAUUGUUAUGAUUAUUAUUAUCACUAAUGUGAUAAGGACUGUUGUUAUUAUUAUUAUUAUUAUCAUUAUUAUUAUUAUUAUUAUUAUUAUUAUUAUUAUUAUUAUUAUUAUUAUUAGUAGUAGUAGUAGUAGUAGUAGUAGUAGUAGUAGUAGUAGUAGUAGUAGUAGUAGUAGUAGUAGUAUUUUAUGUUUGAAUUUUGCUUAGCAUUUGCACAAGUUGACUCCAAGUCUCACCCAGAGACCUCAAGAGACAAGUUAGAAGUUCGUGUUUGUGUUAUGCCUAGGGUGCCAAAUAUUUGGUUUUGUACAUAGUGUUGUACUAGUGAAUGUUUAAGAAACCAUAAGAAAAUUAUGUUUGUUUUAAAACAUGAGAUUACAUAGAAAGUAUUCUACAUAGGAUCUGGGCAGUUCCCAUGAGCACUAUCUUUUGAAUUUCUGCCAUUUUGGGGUUUCCUCGUAUCUGAGCUAGGUAGCAAUCAGCCCCUUUUGCUAUCAUUCCUUGGGCACCUAUGACAACAAGUAUUGUUUUAGUCUUCAGGUUCCACAUUUUUCUAAUUUCUAUUUCAUGAUCUUUAUACUUGCUCAGUUUUUGGUAGGUCUUGACAGAUGUUUUUAUAUCGAUUGGGGCAGUCAUAUCAAUGAGGAGGCAUGUUCUUUGUUUGAAGUCUUUCAAUAUAAUGUCUGGUCUAUUCGCAUCUAUCUUUCUGUCAGCUUGAACGGUGAAGUUCCAGAGGAGUGAGAUGUGAUCUUUUUCAAGCACUGGAGGUGGUUUGUGUUCCCACAAGUUUUUAUCACGGGGCAAGUCCAGGCUUUUGCAAAUUACCCUGUGAAUAUAUUGUGCUGUUCUAUCAUGCCUGCUGAGAUACUUUGUUGGCGAAAGAAGAAGACUGCACAUGGAGACAACAUGAUCAAUGGUUUCAUUUUGUUGUUGACAUACACAUGUUGGGCUACUGCCGUUUCUUUAAUAUGUUGGCCUGGUAGUUUCUUGUAGGUAAGUAUUGAUCUUUGGCUGCUAUGAUAAACCCUUCUGCUUCUGAUUUUAAGCCAGAAGACACUAACCAUUGAUGGGUAACGGCUUUGUCAACAUCGGCAUUAUUCGCUCUCUUUGGGUAUUUACCAUUGAGAGGUUUUUCUUGCCAUUUAUCAAUAAGAAUAUCUAAGGCAGCAGUUUUAGCACGGGUUUUCAUACGUUUAGCUUUUUCUCUGCUUGUUUCCAGUACGUCUAAUUCUGGGAUUUGUUCUAUUUGGAAUUCACUUAGAUAUUCCUUUCCCUGUUUUGUUACUGGGUAUGAUGCUUUCUUGUUUUCAUGCUUUAAUACAAGUUUUAAAAUCCAGUCAUCAGAGUUUUUCAGGUGGGUGUCUAGGCCAAUUGUGGCAAUCUUCAUUGUUAAUUCCAGUUGUAAAAGUCCACGGCCACCAUCUUUUCAUGCCAGGUAAAACCGUUCUACAUCUUUCAUAGGGUGGUGCAUUGUCAACAAUUUCUGUAUUUUUCUGUCAAGAUUACAUAUUAUUAUUAUUAUUAUUAUUAUUAUUAUUAUUAUCAUCAUCAUCAUCAUUAUUAUUUCCUUCUUUCUUCAAAUUUUCUUCUGUUUCUCACCGAGUGUUUUCUGUACACCUAGGGCAGAGAAGCUCAUUGUAUGCAUUCCCAGAUUACACACACAAAUUCACAGGUAAAAUAUGUAUUUAAAAGAUAAAUAAAUAAAUAAAUUCAAGAAUGGAUGUUGAUUUCACAGCGAUAAUGCUCUUCUCAGUACAUGAGUCGUUCCAGUUAACACGAUUUUUUGCACCUCUUAUAGGGAUAGUAAGCCUGGUAUCAUUUUCAAAUAGAUUUCAGUACCUUUUUUUUAUCAUUCCUAGAGCUCCUACAAUCACUGGUACUGUAGUCGCCUUGAGAUGCCACAUUUUUGAGAUGCCAUAUUUUUUUUACUAUUAUCAUUAUAUUAUUAUUAUUAUUAUUAUUGUUAUUAUUAUUAUUAUUAUUAUUAUUAUUAUUAUUAUUAUUAUUAUUAUUAUUUCUUUUUAUUUUUGCAGUGAUUCAAUUAUCGAGAUCCAAUUAUAAUGAACAAAUGACUGACAUAGGAUAUAAACCAACAGAGACAGAUAAAGAGAAGAAAUACUCAAGAACACACACGGACACGGACACGGUCACACACACACACACACGUGCAAAAGACACAGGCUCACGCAUAUAUACACACACCCACUGACUCACUCACUCACACACACACUCAUAUAUAAAGUGAAAUGGGGAAGUGUGAGUGAGAAAGAUGGUAGUAGAGUAUGAGUAGCAAUGGUAGUAAAAAGACAAAGCGAGUAAGAGAGGCAGAGGGGGAGAAGAAGAGAGAGAGAUUGAAAGAGAAAAAGUCGGUGUGAAAAGAGAGAGAGAGAGAGAGAGAGAGAGAGAGAGAGAGAGACGAGUGAGUGUGGAUGAUGGUGAGGGUAAGAGGGUUGAAAGGGAAGUAAAGGGGAAAGUGUGUGGAGAGUGAAAGGGGCAGAGAGAAAGCGUAUGUCUCUAUAACAGUUGGAAAUUGUUUGUAAGAGAGAAAGGGAGAGAGACGUGAAUGAAGGAGAAAAAGCGGGAAGGAGAGACAGAGAAAAGGGUUAGAAAGAGAGAGGGAGAAACAGGGAAGAGAGGAAGUAAAAGAGAGAAGUAGGGAGAAAGGAGAGAGGGAGAGAGAGAGAGAGAGGAAGAUAGGUAGAGAAAUGCAGGAUAAUUUUGAAGUGUUAGAAAGGAAUGUAAACGACAGCUCCUAGCAACAUAAAUAAUCAAAACCAUCAAGACAGAGAAUACAUCAUUGAGAACAACAACAACAAUAACAACACCAUCAAAUGCUGCACAGGACAUCAAUAACAGCAACUACGCCAACAAUAACAGCAGCAGCAACAACAAGUAAAAAACAACAAUACAUCAAUAGAAUCAAUAUAAAGUUCAACUACAGAAGCAAUAGUGUUAAGUGGAGCAAUAACAACAAGAACGAUAGGUGCCGCAACAAUAACAAAAGUAGCCCCGAUUUACAGCAAUAUCAGCGGCAACAGAAUUAAUAAUACACGUUCAAAACAUACAUAAACAGAAUGAACAUAAAGUUCAGCUAUAGAGGAAACAGUUCCAAGUGCAGUAAAAACAGCAACAACAGCAACAACAACAGCAACAUUAGCUAAAGCAGCAGCUGCAGUUGUGAAAAACAUUGGUAAACAACACUGGAGUAGAUACUUUUGAGACAGUAAUAGAAAGAGAGAGAGAGAAGGAGAGAGAGAUUGAAAGAGCAGGAAGAAAGAAAGAGUAGAUAAAUUUGACAAAUAAAUAUAAUUGAAAUAAAAAGGAGGGAAGAAACAAAAGUUCUUUGCAUUAUUAAUGUCACUAAAUAAUUUUUUUUUUAAGAAAACAACAGUAACGAUAAUAGCACCAGCACCACCGCCAUUAGUAACAACAACAACAACAACAACAAUAAAAAUGAUAACAAAGCGUGAAGAAGAUAAAAAUUUUUUAAAUAUCGCUUAAAGAUAAUAAAAAUGCUAACACGUCCGCACAUUUGACAAAGUAUUUAACAUCGACACACAGACACGGCGAAUAAAAACGAAUACACAAGCACUUCAAUACACCUUAAAGUGGACAUAUCCGGCGCAAAUAUUCUCCCUCUUUUGUGUUCAAACUAACCAAAUCCAGCCCCUGAUGUCUCCUCAGCAGUGUUCAUCCUAAAAAUAUGCAAUCGCGACGUCAAAAUUUGGAAGAUGAAGAGAAAUUCCAAACAAUGUGAAUAAGGAUUACAUUUGGCAGCGAAAUAAACUGAAUGCCAAAGGAUUGUACAUCCACAUCCAUGUAUCCCUUUAGUAUUUAAACUAGUCAUACCCCCAGGGUCCAAAUAUUCUACUUGUUUUAUAUUCAAACCAGCCAAAUCUGGCCUCUCACACAUACCCAACAAUGUCAUUCUUAAAAUAAAACAAUAAUCUUGUCAGAAUCUCAAAGCUACGAGAUAAUCCGGAAUUAAUCUAAAACAAUGGGAAUGGAUAAGCAGAACAUUUGAUGGAGGUCUCCGAAUGUUGAAGGACUAAUACAUUCCCAUUCCGGAAGCCACUAUAUGGUCUCUUGAUCUGCUAGAAAUAGCAUCCAAAUUUCUUUCAAACCACCACACUUUAACGUUUUUGCUAUUUUUUGUGUGUGUGUUUUUUUUUUUUCUUAAAAAAAAAGAAGGAAUGCAAAUUGGUAAUGAACAUCUGAUGAGGAAAAGGAAGAGAAACGGAAUUGUUGCGAUGCCAUGUAUUUCAUCAUAGGCUUGCUGGAUUAGAACUGACCUGGGGUUAAACAACAACAACAUCAUCACACACUUCAAAACUAAUCAACACACACUCACACACACACACAUGUAAAACAACUCAUAACACGUGAUCGCACAGGCAUAUAAACCUUCCGUCACGCAAAGUUACACACACAGCACACGCGCCUCUACUUUAUAUACAUACACACACACACACACACAGAUACCUACCUAUCCACCUACCUACCUACCUACAUACCUACAUACCUACAUACCUACAUACAUACAUACAUAUUUAUACAUAUAUUUAUGCAUUUAUAUAUAUAUAUAUAUACACUGAGACCAAGGAAGAUAUAAAAAUAAAGAUAUAAAGAUAUACGUACAUAUAUAUAUAUAUAUAUAUAUAUACAUACACAUACAUAUAUAUAUAUAUACAUACAUACACAUAUAUAUAUAUAUAUGUAAAACAAUCUUUACAAAAUGACGCAUUCGCAUUCAUUAUUGACGUUCGGUACUUGGUAUGCGGGCAUCCAUGGUUACUUGAGUACGUGUGUUUGUGUGUUCGGUAUUGUCACCAGUAUUUUCAACAUUACUGUUUUAUCUCGCAAGAAUAUGCGAACUCCGGUCAAUAAUAUUCUCAGUUGGUUGGCUGUUUCCGAUAUGAUCACAAUGGUAUCUUAUGUUCCGUUUGCCAUCCAUUUUUACAUCUUAAAUAACCCGAUGCAGCUGUCACCGACCAAAAACAACAAAAGCUGGACGUGGUUCAUGCUUUUCCAUUUGAACUUGGUCAACACCACACACACCAUAUCGAUCUGGUUGUGUGUUCUGCUCUCCAUCAUACGCUACGCUCAUUUAAGGUCGCCGGCCCGCGGAGAAUACGUCCGGUUACGACGGCUGAAACUAUCUCGGAUCUUCAUAAUGAGUAUUUAUGUCUUUUCGGCCGUAAUGAUGACACCAAACUUCAUAACGAAGAAAAUCGUCGAGAAACCAACGAUGGACAAUCAAACUGUCUAUCUGAUCAUUGACGAUAAUUUGAUCAAUUCCGACUCUCAGGCGGCAAUAAUUCUUAACUAUUGGCUGUACGCCAUAACAGGGAAGUUGCUGCCUUGCGUCCUCAUCUUCAUAUUCGGAGGUCUCCUUAUUUAUAAGAUACAUGAAAAGACGCGCCGGCGCAAGCAAAUGAUGCAGAUAUCUUGCGCCAAUCGGACUCGCCUCUCAGAACAUUCCCGAACAACGAAGAUGCUGUUGACGGUAAUUGUUCUGUUUCUCGUGACUGAAUUACCCCAAGGUAUAUUGAUUGUGAUGAGCAUCACCACACCGAACAUCUUCGACCUCAUUUACGUACCACUCGGCGACCUCAUGGACAUUAUCGCUCUCGUAAACAAUGCUAUCAACUUCGUACUUUACUGUACCAUGAGUCAGAAAUUCAGAAACACUUUCUUUGAAGUUUAUUGCGCAUGUCUGUGUAUACAUUCCCAAAAUGAGAGCGAUCUGCCUCUCAGACAGAAAAUUGAUUCAUACAGCAACAACAACCAGGUGUGAACAGAUCUAAAAAUAAUGAAAAAACUAUGAAAUGCAGUCAAAUGAAGUGAUAUAAACUCUUGUUUGUGAUUCUUUUGGUUAUUUUUCAUUAUAUUUUGUUUGUAUAUUGUUUUAUAUUAUUUAUUUAUUAAGAAUAUUUUUGAUUUUAUAUUUUAAUAUAUUAAAAUAUAUUAAAAUAUAUUAAAUAUAUUUAACACGUUUUGAUAUAUUUUCAAAAAAUCUUAAUAUAAUCCUGUGUCAUAAACGUUGCUGGCGUCCAUUUUUCUUUUGUAUUUCCUCUUUACACUGAGGACGAUAAAAUCAAUACCGGUCACGUGUUUGGUUCGAUUACUCCAUCAGAUGGACCCUCCUGUUAAUUUAUAACCAUAUUCCAAUGUACCAAAUCAUAGAAUUAUAUUUAUUACUCGCCUGUUUUUUCAUUUCUUUAUUCUUUAACUGUUAAACCAUGUGAAAGGUCUCGCGAAGAAGUUGACCCGUGGAUGGUCAGACAAAUACCAAAAUAUCUUGAAGAAACAACGCCGGUGCUUCUAUAGUCGUGUUUACGGGACGCCAUGAACUGUUAACUAACAACAGUGUUAACUAACAAAGUAACUACAUCGUUAACUAACAAAACCGCUACAGUAUUAACUAAACUGUUAACUAACGACACACCUUCCACUGUUAAAUAAUAAUUAACCCAUUAAGUCCCAGUGUACUUUAAUUUCUGAAUAUUACUUUAAAAUUUUUACAAAUGAUUGAAAAUAGGUUAAAAUUUUUAAAAAUUAUUAAAACUCCUUUACUUCGAGUAGAAAUGGAAAUACUCGGUGUCCUAUAAAUAGGACACAGAGACUGUGAUAUAGUUUAUUUAAUGUUCUCAUUUAGUGUCCUAUUUAUAGGAUAGUAGUGGAGGCGCAAUGGCCCAGUGGUUAGGGCAGCGGACUCGCGGUCAUAGGAUCGCGGUUUCGAUUCCCAGACCGGGCGCUGUGAGUGUUUAUUGAGCGAAAACACCUAAAGCUCCACGAGGCUCCGGCAGGGGAUGGUGGUGAUCCCUGCUGUACUCUUUCACCACAACUUUCUCUCACUCUUACUUCCUGUUUCUGGUGUACCUGUAUUUCAAAGGGCCGGCCUUGUCACUCUCUGUGUCACGCUGAAUAUCCCCGAGAACUACGUUAAGGGUACACGUGUCUGUGGAGUGCUCAGCCACUUACACGUUAAUUUCACGAGCAGGCUGUUCCGUUGAUUCGGAUCAACCGGAACCCUCAUCGUCGUAACCGACGGAGUGCUUCCAUCCAUAUAGGAUAGUGGGACUUAAUGGGUUAAGUUGUUAAUUAACAAAACAUUAUCUCGUUAACUAAUAAUACAUCUACAUCGUUAACCACAAAACAGCUGGACCGCUGACUACAAAAACAAAAUGUUAACAACCGGAACAGUUAUACAGUUAACAAGUACUUAGCGAUACUGUUAACUAACAAAGAGCUACAUUGUUAACCAACGAUGCAUCUGCCUUGUUAACUAACAAAAUAUAAACUGUUAACCAGCAAAACAGUUACAGUGUUCACUAACUAAACAGCCACAUUGUUAACUGAUAAAACAGUUGUACUGUUAACUAACAAAAUUGCUAUACUGUUGAUUCGUGGUAUCGCAUGGUAUCACUGGUAUCGACCAGACUAUCGAGUGCUGUUAUACAUCGCUGGUCACAAUGCGCUUCGCAUCGCUCUAGCUUAAGAAUGAUGUCAUCCCGCUGGCUAGGCAAACAGGCCAACAUUCCCCCCUGAUCGGAAGGCCAGUCGGUUGCAGGGUUACCCUUUUUACAGUUGAGUGGACUGGGGCAACGUUAAAUGAAGUGUUUUGCUCAAGAACACAACGCGCAGUUCGAUUUGAGAAUCGAACCCACAGUCUAGACAUCGUGAGUCAACACCUAAACCUCUAGAUCAUGCACCUUGCUUGGGUUAAUCAAUAUUAUUAAUUGAUAAUGUUAGAUAAUGAAAUAACAAUAUUAUUACUUAAGAAAGUUAUUAGCUAACAGCUAGACACUGCUACUGUUGCAUUAAGAAACCACCAUUGGUUAUACACGCACACAUACAUACAUGCUCACAUACAUACAUACAUACAUACAUACAUACAUACAUACAUACAUACAUACAUACAUACAUACAUACAUACAUACAUACAUACAUACAUACAUACAUACAUACAUACAUACACACACACACUCAUACAUACACACAUACAUACACACACACAUACAUACAUACAUACAUACAUACAUACAUACAUACAUACACACACUCAUACAUACAUACAUACAUACAUACACACACAUACAUACAUACAUACAUACACACACACUCAUACAUACAUACAGACAGAGAGACAGACAGACAGACAGACAUUAGGGCAUGUAACACACUGCCUAAAUACCAGUCUUGAAAAAUUAAACUUCUCAAAACCAGAAAAGAGAACUCUGGUUGGAAGACUACAGAUCCAAUCCAUCACUGGAACUGUAAAAAUCUGUAAAACUUUCCAGAAGUUUAUCAUUUAAAUAUAUACGCGCAUGUCUAGAUAUGCAACUAUAUACAUAAGAAUACAUACACAAAGAAAAACAUACAAAUCUGCACACAUAGAUAUAAACAAACAUACAUACAAACAAAAAAUACCCUGUUGAAAUUUUGAUGAAGGAGAAUUGAAUCAAGGUUAGAAACCAGCUCUUUCUCUAUUGGCAAGAAAUCUUGAAAUAAAACUGAAUAAUGACAUACAUACACACACACAUACAUACAUACAUAC